GACGAACGCUGGCGGCGUGCCUAACACAUGCAAGUGGAGCGACGAACCGGGCUUCGGCCCGGAGCAAAGCCGCGAACGGGUGAGUAACGCGUGGGUAACCUGCCCCAAUGACUGGGACAACCCGAGGAAACUCGGGCUAAUACCGGAUGUGUACCCAGACCUUCUGGUCUGUGUGCAAAGGAAGCUUCGGCCUCCGCAUUGGGAUGGGCCCGCGUCCCAUUAGCUAGUUGGCAGGGUAAUGGCCUACCAAGGCAACGAUGGGUAGCUGGUCUGAGAGGAUGAUCAGCCACACUGGGACUGAGACACGGCCCAGACUCCUACGGGAGGCAGCAGUGGGGAAUAUUGCACAAUGGACGAAAGUCUGAUGCAGCAAUGCCGCGUGAGUGAAGAAGGCCCUUGGGUCGUAAAGCUCUUUCGAUUGGGAAGAAGGAAAUUCAGGCUAAUACUCUGGGUUUCUGACGGUACCUGAAGAAGAAGCACCGGCUAAUCUCGUGCCAGCCGCCGCCGUAA
rnacentral:rRNA from 1 species